rnacentral:rRNA from 1 species
GACGAACCGAGCGAACGUUGUUCGGAAUAACUGGGCUUAAAGGGCGCGUAGGCGGGCCGCCAAGUUCGAGGUGAAAUCCUCCGGCUCAACCGGAGAACUGCCUCGAAUACUGGAGGCCUCGAGGCGGGUAGGGGCACGCGGAACUGUGGGUGGAGCGGUGAAAUGCGUUGAUAUCCACAGGAACUCCGGUGGCGAAGGCGGCGACCUGGUCCUUGACUGACGCUGAGGCGCGAAAGCGUGGGGAGCAAACAGG